rnacentral:lncRNA from 1 species
AUGGCAGCAAGUGGAAGCAUCAACACCAGUACCACAAAACUCAGCCCUUAUAACGUGAUGUUUAGAGUCAAAAUGACUGCUUUGCUUCUGCUGUAUGUAUCUUGGAGCUGGAUUUUUCUACGAAUUCAGUGGGAGCUUGUUACCAUGUUAAAUGCCCAGCUUUCAUUAAAUCCACACCUGAAGGGUUAUCUACAUUCAAAUUAG